CCUACGGGUGGCAGCAGUGAGGAAUAUUGGUCAAUGGGCGUAAGCCUGAACCAGCCAAGCCGCGUGAGGGAUGAAGGUUCUAUGGAUCGUAAACCUCUUUUAUAAGGGAAUAAAGUGUGGGACGUGUCCUAUUUUGUAUGUACCUUAUGAAUAAGGAUCGGCUAACUCCGUGCCAGCAGCCGCGGUAAUACGGAGGAUCCGAGCGUUAUCCGGAUUUAUUGGGUUUAAAGGGUGCGUAGGCGGCCGGUUAAGUUAGCGGUGAAAUCCUGUGGCUCAACCUUGGAAUUGCCUUUGAUACUGGUGGGCUUGAGAAUGUUUGAGGCAGGCGGAAUGCGUGGUGUAGCGGUGAAAUGCUUAGAUAUCACACAGAACCCCGAUUGCGAAGGCAGCCUACCAAGCCAUGACUGACGCUGAUGCACGAAAGCGUGGGGAGCAAACAGGAUUAGAUACCCGGGUAGUC
rnacentral:rRNA from 1 species